GAAAGAUGUGACCAAGCAGAUUGACAAGUCACAUUAUACGCAUAAUACUGCCACCUGCUGGCUGGCAGCGCUACACAAAACCCUGAUACAGGGCAAAGUGAAGCUUUACAAACCAGCGAAGCUUUCGACACAAGCGUAUCGAAAAAAAGGUUUAAUUACGCAAAACUUUUAAAAUCAGAGCUCGACGAGGACCUCGGCUGGUGAAAGUUAGGAUGUUUCACCACCAACCAGCAUGAAUCUUGACACUAAAAUGAAUGAAUGGGUGCAAAUUAUUAAUAAAUACAUUUUUAAACAAUUGUUGCAUCCAACUAACACCAAAACGCACGCACACACACACACACACACACACACACACACACAGCACUUUCGAGUUGUAGACCAUAAUAAGUAAUAUUUUUAAAUAAUUCAUUAUCGUUGGUAUUGUAUUUUUCCUCUUCGUCACAUUGUAUUUUGAUACCUGGAUUAUUUAGUGUAAAUUCUGUUCUCUGACGUCUUCAUUUCUGCGGGAGGAAUGAUUGUUUCUCUUUACACAAGAACGGUUUGACAUUUUGUGAGCAAUGUCUCUGUAUCUUUUGAUUGUGUAUUAUGUACAUUUAAAUACAGUUUAAAAAACAAUUCAUUAAAAACCCACGAGGGCCCUCCUCCAUGUGUCGCGCAUUUUUAAACUUUUGACUUUGUUGCAGUCGCGUUGCUUCGUGACGUCAUUGCUCACGUGAGUUUGAUAGGACGAAUCAAGCUCCGAAACGACGCCUCCCUGGAUCGUUCCAAUUCUUUUGACAGGUAAGCUAACUGACUCUAACCCACUGCACACCGUAAAGUUCACAGUUAGUUAGUCAGUAGUUAGUUAGUCAUCUCUGCAGAGUUUAGAGAUGUCGCCUGCCAAGACGGAACAUGUCACACGACUGGCCUCACAUCGGGGCUCCGGUCAAAGAGAUGAACCACAGCCGCAGCACGCCGUGGACCAGACCGAGCCCCGCCCGCGCUGCGAGGCGGACAAGCGCGGGAACAAGAGGGUCAGAGGAGAAGGCGACACGGGAGGACGACGACAACGACGACAACAACACAACAACGACAACAACAACAACGACACACCGAGCUGGUGGACGUUGGAGCCCGCCGAGAGCAGAACCACGACGGUGAGCCGGGUUGGAGGGAGCCGGGCUGCCGACACAGACGCUGACUCUGUUGGUGGAGAUGUUUUCUUCUUCUCCCAGGGGCCCACUAGCCAAGUGACAGAUGAGAAGGAGCAGGCCAAGGUGGCAGUUCUCAGGACCAUCUCCAGGAUGCUGGAGGAGAACCAGCGGAUCAGACAGAGACUCCUCGCCCCCACCCAGGCCCACUGAUGCUGCACUCGCUGAAACGGCUGAACACUUAUCG
rnacentral:lncRNA from 1 species